rnacentral:rRNA from 1 species
GGAUCAUUACAAGUGACCCCGGUUUACCACCGGGAUGUUCAUAACCCUUUGUUGUCCGACUCUGUUGCCUCCGGGGCGACCCUGCCUUCGGGCGGGGGCUCCGGGUGGACACUUCAAACUCUUGCGUAACUUUGCAGUCUGAGUAAACUUAAUUAAUAAAUUAAAACUUUUAACAACGGAUCUCUUGGUUCUGGCAUCGAUGAAGAACGCAGCGAAAUGCGAUAAGUAAUGUGAAUUGCAGAAUUCAGUGAAUCAUCGAAUCUUUGAACGCACAUUGCGCCCCCUGGUAUUCCGGGGGGCAUGCCUGUUCGAGCGUCAUUUCACCACUCAAGCCUCGCUUGGUAUUGGGCAACGCGGUCCGCCGCGUGCCUCAAAUCGACCGGCUGGGUCUUCUGUCCCCUAAGCGUUGUGGAAACUAUUCGCUAAAGGGUGCUCGGGAGGCUACGCCGUAAAACAACCCCAUUUCUAAGGUUGACCUCGGAUCAGGUAGGGAUACCCGCUGAACUUAAGCAUAU